rnacentral:rRNA from 1 species
UAAAACGGGAGGCAGCAGUAGGGAAUCUUCCGCAAUGGACGAAAGUCUGACGGAGCAACGCCGCGUGAACGAUGAAGGCCUUCGGGUCGUAAAGUUCUGUUGUUAGGGAAAAACAAGUACCAGAGUAACUGCUGGUACCUUGACGGAACCUAACCAGAAAGCCACGGCUAACUACGUGCCAGCAGCCGCGGUAAUACGUAGGUGGCAAGCGUUGUCCGGAAUUAUUGGGCCUAAAGCGCGCGCAGGUGGUUUCUUAAGUCUGAUGUGAAAGCCCACGGCUCAACCGUGGAGGGUCAUUGGAAACUGGGGAACUUGAGUGCAAAAGAGGAAAGUGGAAUUCCAAGUGUAACGGUGAAAUGCCUACAGAUUUGGAGGAACACCACUGGCGAAGGCGACUUUCUGGUCUGUAACUGACACUGAGGCGCGAAAGCGUGGGGAGCGAACAGGAUUAGAUACCCUGGUAGUCCACGCCGUAAACGAUGAGUGCUAAGUGUUAGAGGGUUUCCCCCCUUUAGUGCUGCAGCCAACACAUUAAACAC